rnacentral:rRNA from 1 species
GAUCAUGGCUACAGGAUGAACGCUAGCUACAGGCUUAACACAUGCAAGUCGAGGGAACGACAUCGAAGCUUGCUUUUGGUGGGCGUCGACCGGCGCACGGGUGAGUAACGCGUAUCCAACCUGCCCACACUUGGGGAUAACCUUGCGAAAGUAAGACUAAUACCCAAUGAUAUCCCACGAAGGCAUCCGAAUGGGAUUAAAGAUUUAUCGGUGAUGGAUGGGGAUGCGUCUGAUUAGCUUGUUGGCGGGGUAACGGCCCACCAAGGCAACGAUCAGUAGGGGUUCUGAGAGGAAGGUCCCCCACAUUGGAACUGAGACACGGUCCAAACUCCUACGGGAGGCAGCAGUGAGGAAUAUUGGUCAAUGGGCGAGAGCCUGAACCAGCCAAGUAGCGUGCAGGAUGACGGCCCUAUGGGUUGUAAACUGCUUUUAUAAGGGAAUAAAGUGAGUCUCGUGAGACUUUUUGCAUGUACCUUAUGAAUAAGGACCGGCUAAUUCCGUG